UACGAAGGGAGCUAGCGUUGUUCGGAAUCACUGGGCGUAAAGCGCACGUAGGCGGAUGUGUCAGUCAGAGGUGAAAUCCCGGAGCUCAACUUCGGAACUGCCUUUGAUACAGCACGUCUUGAGUCCGAUAGAGGUGGGUGGAAUUCCUAGUGUAGAGGUGAAAUUCGUAGAUAUUAGGAAGAACACCAGUGGCGAAGGCGGCUCACUGGCCCGAUACUGACGCUGAGGCACGAAAGCGUGGGGAGCAAACAGG
rnacentral:rRNA from 1 species